AAAAAUGUUUUCGAGCUGUACUUCAUCCAAUUUAUAAUUGUCCUUCCAUGCAGUUUAAUAUUAUUUGUUUUACUUUUCCAAUUAAUAUUUUUUCAUUUAUUAAAUUGUUUAAAAUAAAUAUUUUUACAUUAAAUUUCGCAAAGAGCUCAAACCAAGACAUUUCUGUUUUGACAAAUGCAUAAUUUUAGGAUUACGCAUAGGUUCGCCGCACAUGCGCAUUCGCACAUAAAACUAAACUUGAGCAGAGACCACGCGGCAUCAACCGACCUGGACCUGUUCCUGCGCCAGAGAGAGACUGAUAGCAUCAUAUCCACAUUUUACGGAUUAUAUUCUGGUGUCGGAGAAGGAAGAGGCUGAACACAUUCUUCAGGGGGCAACCAUGGCAAUCUACAUCAUCAGAGAUGCACAAGCUGCACCCAAAGACAUUGGCAUUAUACUUGAGGGACAAGAGGUUGUGAACGAGUUGCCGUCUGUCGCAAAUGCUGUCGCCAUUCUCAUGGGACUCCUUUAUGUUCUCAAUAUGGAAUAUCCAAAGACAUUGAAACAGACAUUUGAAUAUAUCCAGAAAGUCCUCAUGGAGCUGGACCCGAAAGGCAUGACCACCAAGGUCAAGAAGCUCUAUGACCAGCUAUACAGUACAGCUUAGUUGCAUCGUAACAGUAGCAAGUAAAGUAGCAUUAGUCAGUAGUAGUGUUUGCUUUUGCAGCUGACUAGCUGGCAUACAUAUGUGGUGUGACUAAUUUGAGAGCUGACUGACUGACUAGAGACUUGACUGACUGACUGACUUGAGACUUGACUGACUGACUUGAGACUUGACUGACUGACUUACUUGCGCCUUGACUGACUGACUGACUUGAGACUUGACUGACUAACUUGAGACUUGACUGACUGACUAACUUGAGACUUGACUGACUGACUGACAUGAGACUUGACUGACUGACUUGAGACUUGACUGACGGAUUUUACAUUUCAGCCAGGUUUGGCAUCUCACUGUUAAUGUCUUGGGAUUGUACACUGUUUGGUUAUAUCAGGAGGAUUUUACAGUUCAGCCAGGUUUGGCAUCUCACCGUUAAUGUCUUGGGAUUGUACACUGUUUGGUUAUAUCAGGAGGAUUUUACAGUUCAGCCAGGUUUGGCAUCCCACCGUUGAUGUCUUGCAAUUGUACACUGUUUGGUUAAAUCAGGACGACUUUACAUUUCAGCCAGAUUUGGCAUCCCAACGUUAGUAACUUGGAACACUGUUAAUUUAAAUCAGGGUUUUGACUGUUUUUGAAUUCCAUUUCUCAAGUGUUAAAUUACAACCAUGCAGAUACCCUGUAAAAUGUCAUGUUUUAUCAUUUUAUAAGUUAGUUAAUUGAUAUCAAUGUGUCAUGAGAAUUAUUGAUAUAUAUAUUUUUUAUUAAACAAAUAAUUUCUA